GAUGUUAGCUGUUGGUUUACUGUAUAUUGCUUUUAUGUUCAGCUUGAUUAUACAGUGAAUCACAUUGGAAGAAUUGCAUAUUUUGAACAAUGCCUGACUGAGUGGGUUGAAGCCCACUUGAUCAUGAAUAAUUUGAGGAGUAUGAACAUUAGAUCUUCUGACAGCUAUUGAGCCACAAUGAAUGUGGCUGAGCAAACAUCUGUGGACUGUGAAGAGUCCUUAGAACAUAUGACAAGGAGUGGUGUAUUGGGAUCCUAUAGGUGAAGCCUUGCUUCUUGAGCUGAAUUCACAACAAGAAAGUGGCCUACCAGCACACAGCAGAAGACAUCAAUGAUUAAUUUGAAGAAAUUUGGAAAUGUGACUAAUUUGAAGAUAGCAUUCAGACCUGGGAUCCCUGGCAAGUUGGAUCUCAGUAUUGGUUAUGACUUAGACAUAUGCUUCUCUCACCUAGCAACUCAAACUGUUCACAAGUUUAUGCUCAAUGGAGAGAAAGGUAACCAAGGUACAGCUUUCUUCUGAGGAAAAUAGAAGCACAAGAAGUACCUGGAUUGAAAAGUUGGCAUGAGAAUAACUUAUGAUGGUACAGAACCUUGAAGGAACAAACCAUAAGAAGCUCAAUUACAACUACCACAUAAAGAAUCCUUCCCUAAAACACUCAGGUCCGAAAUGUGAUCCAUAUGAAAACUCUGCUCCUGACCAAAUGUCCUGCCAAGUAGAAGAUAAUUACAAGGAACUGACUUCUGAGUCUAUCUCAAGGAAUGAAGCAGAGAUUAGACUGUGGGAACCAAGAUUAUUGACUGCAUGACUCAACUCCCUACAGGAAGUCCCACAGAGUUGUGGGGGAUGAGCCACCAUACCAGUACAUGGAAAAUUGUGCCUGAUAAUCUAUAUGCUACUGAAUCUUGCACCAAAAGAAAGUGCUUAUGGCUUCACAAGAGAUUUACUCUAAGAACAGCCAUUAUACAAAAGAUGAUGAGCCCAGAAUUCUUGCAACUGAGUUUAUCUCCAUUAGAACACUUCACUCUGGUGCUUCACACUUCUGCUUUAUCAUUUGAAGUCUCACUGCAUAACUCUUGUGGAUCACAGCACUGGAGGAAGUAGGUAACUGAAUGCACAUCUUUAAAAGUCAUACCUUAUUUAGAUUUCACCUGUUUUUACUUUUUCUAGACAUCUUAACUUACAUAGCUCUCUUCCAUUCGGCCCUCACAACCAUAAUGGAGAUAUUCCACUGGGUGCAGGAAUGAAAUUAAAACAAGCAAAGAAACAAACAAACAAAGAACUUGAUUUAAACUGUUCUGCAGAUAUUUUUCCAGCACAAUGCAAAAUACUAAACACAUUUCAGUAAUAAAUAUGUAAGUAAAAUUGAGGGAAACAGGUUCUAACAAGACAGAUCGAUGGAUAAAGCACUUGCCACCUACAAAGAUGACCCAGAAUCCACAUAGUGGAUAGGAAACCAUGACUCUCUCAGACUGUAUUCUAACCUCCAAAUAUACACGAUGGUGCACAUACACACACAUAUGCGCACACAAAUACACCACACUAUCAAGUCCCAGAGUUUUCACCAUAACAGCACCCUAUGUCAUAGAAGCUUGCACAUCUCUACCAGUCUGAUAAGCUUUGCGACCUGGUUUAGUCAAUAAGUUUUAGUCUUGCAAAUACUUACAUCUUGGAACGUGUAAUAUGUAUAUGUAAUAGGCAAUCAUAGGAGAAACACAAAUGUGGUUAAUUUAUUCACUUUCCCAAGCUAGAAUCCAGCUAGUCACCAGGCAUUGGAAAAUGUUGAGAGAAAGUUAGAUCUUCCCAGAGUGUAUCACUCUAAGUUAUUGCUCUAUAGGCUUUUGAGCUAAAAAAAAAAGUAGCUAUGAUACUGAAUUUGGUAGAGCUUUCCCAUGUAGGAUUAUUACAGCAAUACAUAACAGAAAAAUUGCCCAACAUGGUACAUGCUGCACUAGCCUCAAAUGAAGUUAGGUACAUUUGAGUCUCUGAAUCUUACAGCAAUAAAACUUUGUGCUGUACUUUUGAAUACUCUAAGGAAAAGCUCUGCCUGCUGUGAGUAGCAAUGAAACAAUGGGUUGCUUCCAAUUCCUACCUUGAAGCACAAAUAUGUAUCUGCUUUAAUGUGUUUUAUGAUCUUUCUAAAACCUGGUUAAAGAUGCAAUGCAUUUUAUUACAAGAAUAACAGAAAAUUUAGAAGUGCAUGUAUUCCUAUAUUGACUGUCUGUUCAAUAUAGGAAAAUUUAGUGCUUUGAAAAGAUUUCUGACGGGUCACCCAUACUAUGUAUAGGCAAAUCUUAUCUAGGUAUUAAAGUACUACAUUGUACCUCCUAAAACACAUAGUUACUGUAAAUUAAAUAAAUCAAUAUUUUUGAAUAUUUAAAGAAAAGUAAAUCCUAGCUAUGCUGAUUUGAUCAAUACAUAACAGGUUUUAUAUCCUUAUAUUCCAUAUAUUAUAUAUACAUAUAUAUAAUUAAGAUAAAUACAAAACAUUAUAAUAGAAAAUUUGAGGCUUAUGAGCAGAUAAAGCAGACAUAUACACUUUUUAAAAUCAACCAAAGAAAUUAAUUUUAUCUUUUUUAACAGUUGGUGUUCCUGAUAUAAGAAAAUGAUUCUCUGGGAAAUAUAUGAUUAAAAGAAAAAUGAUACCUAUGUAAUAAAUAAGUAGAUGGUUUAAUAUUCACAUGUCUAGCUUAGCUCCAUAAUUUUUAAAAGACUAUUGCCUGGGUUUUAGGAAACAAAAAAUUACAUUAUGUUUACUAGUUACAACGUGUCCUUCUGGACAUACAAGUUAUUCAUUCACCUAUAUAAUUAACUCCAAAACAUUUUUUUAAGUUUCACACUUGUAUACAGAGUUACAUUAUAAAGACCAAACAGGCUAUAUUUAUGAAUAUAUAUGUAUAUACAUAUAUGAAUUGAUAAUAAUUAGUGAAACAGAGGCCAUGAAUCUGAAGGAAAGGGGUAAAAGAUAUAUAGGAUGAUUUCAAGGAUGAGAGGGAAGGGAGAAAUGUUAAAAUUAUAAUCUCAGAAAAAGAAAAGUUUUAUGUUUGCAAAGAUGACAGAAAAUAAAAUAGAGGUUGCUUAUGGCUAACAUUAUACCACACUAGGAAACAUGAUAUGCUUCCAUUCCCAAAAAUUGAAUAUAGGAAUGGCAUAUAAGGAACUACAGUUUUAUGGCGCAUCAUCUACAGCAGUGGUUCUCAAUCAGUGGGUCACAACCCACUUGGGGUUGCCUAAGACCAUUGGAGAACGCAGAUAUUUACAUUGCUAUUCAUAACAGUAGCAAAAUUAGUUAUGAGGUGGCAACAAAAAAAUUUUAUGGUUUGGAGGUAUUUAAAACCUGAGGGAGUGUAUUAAAGGGUUUCUGCAGUAGGAAGGUUGAGAACCAGUGAUCUCAAUGCUGUUAUAUUUAUCACCAACAAAGACCAUGCUGGGGAAACCCACAAAAACAGCUCACCUGAUCAAGCGGGAAUUCAUGGACACCACCAUAGGACUGAAGCAGGCCCCCUGAACGUGGGUGUCAGUUGGGAGGCCUGGGCACUCUAUAGGGUCUCUGGCCAUGGAACCAGUAUUUAUCCCUAGUGCAUAAAUUGAUUUUGGGAUCCCAUUCCCUAA